rnacentral:rRNA from 1 species
GAUGAACGCUAGCGGAAUGCUUUACACAUGCAAGUCGAACGGCAGCACGGACUUCGGUCUGGUGGCGAGUGGCGAACGGGUGAGUAAUGUAUCGGAACGUGCCCAGUCGUGGGGGAUAACGUAGUGAAAAUUACGCUAAUACCGCAUACGAUCUAUGGAUGAAAGCGGGGGAUCGCAAGACCUCGCGCGAUUGGAGCGGCCGAUAUCAGAUUAGGUAGUUGGUGGGGUAAAGGCCCACCAAGCCAACGAUCUGUAGCUGGUCUGAGAGGACGACCAGCCACACUGGAACUGAGGCACGGUCCAGACUCCUACGGGAGGCAGCAGUGGGGAAUGUUGGACAAUGGGCGCAAGCCUGAUCCAGCCAUUCCGCGUGCAGGAUGAAGGCCCUCGGGUUGUAAACUGCUUUUGUACAGAACGAAAAGGUUUCUACUAAUACUAGGAGCUCAUGACGGUACUGUAAGAAUAAGCACCGGCUAACUACGUGCCAGCCGCCGCCGUAACAC